GAUGAACGCUGGCGGCGUGCCUAAUACAUGCAAGUCGAGCGAACGGACGAGAAGCUUGCUUCUCUGAUGUUAGCGGCGGACGGGUGAGUAACACGUGGAUAACCUACCUAUAAGACUGGGAUAACUUCGGGAAACCGGAGCUAAUACCGGAUAAUAUUUUGAACCGCAUGGUUCAAAAGUGAAAGACGGUCUUGCUGUCACUUAUAGAUGUAUCCGCGCUGCAUUAGCUAGUUGGUAAGGUAACGGCUUACCAAGGCAACGAUGCAUAGCCGACCUGAGAGGGUGAUCGGCCACACUGGAACUGAGACACGGUCCAGACUCCUACGGGAGGCAGCAGUAGGGAAUCUUCCGCAAUGGGCGAAAGCCUGACGGAGCAACGCCGCGUGAGUGAUGAAGGUCUUCGGAUCGUAAAACUCUGUUAUUAGGGAAGAACAGAUGUGUAAGUAACUGUGCACAUCUUGACGGUACCUAAUCAGAAAGCCACGGCUAACUACGUG
rnacentral:rRNA from 1 species